rnacentral:rRNA from 1 species
CAGUAGCCGCGGUAAUACGAAGGGGGCUAGCGUUGUUCGGAUUUACUGGGCGUAAAGGGCGCGUAGGCGGACUGAUAAGUCAGUGGUGAAAUCCCAAGGCUCAACCUUGGAACUGCCUUUGAUACUGUUUGUCUUGAGUUCGAGAGAGGUAAGUGGAACUGCGAGUGUAGAGGUGAAAUUCGUAGAUAUUCGCAAGAACACCAGUGGCGAAGGCGGCUUACUGGCUCGAAACUGACGCUGAGGCGCGAAAGCGUGGGGAGCAAACAGGAUUAGAUACCCGCGUAGUCCCUGUCUCUUAUAA